ensembl:lncRNA
CCUCAUUUGCAUUCAACAUCUCCACUGGAGCUCCAGGGCAGGGCCGAAUUGAGUAGUUCGACUUUUGAGGUUGCACUGAGGAAGCUCUGCUCCGCUUGACCCUCCUAGCGCAAGGGUCCCCCCUGCAGGGGCCCAGAUGAAGGCCGGGAAGGGACAGCCUGCAUCUGCCCAGGGACCCUGUGGCCCCAGAUGAAUGCUGCUGUAGCUCUGUUGCUGCCCUGGGAGCUCAGGGCGUGAGUGAUAUGUUUCCUAAUCCCCAAUUCCUCCGUCUUAUUUUCCUGGGAAAUUUGGAUUUUCUCUGUGGCUUCAGUGAGGAGCUAUUUCUAGAGAGGAACCAGAAUCACUGGGGUGAAAUCAUCACUACACUGUGUCAACAGGGGACUGCUUGCCAGUCAUCCUGAGGCAGGAGACAGAUGGGCCCCGGAGCAAACAGUUGGCACUGGUUCUCUGUGGACCGAUACUCUGAGACUAAAAUAGUAGGACAAUUGAGGGAGGAGGCGGGGCCCUGCCCAGACAGGCAGUAAGAGACCACGUGUGCCUCAUUCUCAAAGUCAGGAGACCUUCUCCACUACACAUGCACAGACAGGCUCCUCGGAGGUCAAAAAAGGAGGGGGCGCCACCCCAUAGUAAGUGAUGCUAACUACUCACAGGCCUCUUGAGUGGAAUCCAUCUUGGUAAGAAAUGCGUGUGCACACGUGGGAGGGUCCUGAGAUAAACCAAAUAGGGACUCUGAACCAGGCAAAGCAAAAUGAUUGGCCAAAGGAAAUCUCGGAGAAACACGUCCACCAUGAGUCUGGCUGAGUUCUCGGAGCUGAGGACCGCAUGAUAAACAAGCCAGUUCCUUGUCCAGCUGGAGAGACACUCAGUGGAUAAACAACAAGGACCUACCAUAACAGAACUCUGCUCAAUGUUAUGUGGCAGCCUGGAUAGGAGGCGAGUUUGGAGGAGCAUGGAUACAUGUAUAUGCAUGACUGAGUCCCUUUGCUGUUCACCUGAAGCUAUCACAACAUUGUUAAUCAGCUAUAUGCCAAUA